UACAGAGGUGGCAAGCGUUGUUCGGAAUUACUGGGCGUAAAGGGCGCGUAGGCGGUCUUGCAAGUCCCGUGUGAAAUCCCUCGGCUCAACUGAGGAACUGCACGGGAAACUGCUUGGCUUGAGUUCGGGAGAGGGAUGCGGAAUUCCAGGUGUAGCGGUGAAAUGCGUAGAUAUCUGGAGGAACACCGGUGGCGAAGGCGGCAUCCUGGACCGAUACUGACGCUGAGGAGCGAAAGCCAGGGGAGCAAACGGG
rnacentral:rRNA from 1 species